UUGAUAAUACAUGACAAUUUCUACAUUUUUAAUUCAUCUGAAAAUGUUCAAGUUUUCAUUAUGUAUGACGUUAUGUGAGGUUACAUGAGUUUACUGUUAACAGGCUUUCCAGGAAAAAGCCAGAGAAAUGAACCCGCCCCCGAAUUCCUUUUCUAUGGAAAGCUGAGCAAAAGCUGCUCCUCACUGAGGAUGUCGAAAAGAAAACAAGCUGCUUUCGUCACAGCACAGGGGCUUGGGAUAACAGCAGCUUGGAAGAAAAGUCAUUCAGAAGAGGACAAGAGACAGGAAACACCAAACCACACUCCACAAAGAAAACAACAGCACUUCUUUUCAGGAAACUGAGUUUGAUUGUCUCCACUGGUGGGCGACUUCAGAGACUUCUGAAAGUAGAACCAAAAUCAUUAGGAAUGGACUGAUGACCAGAUUUCUCUGGUAGAGAGCAGAAUUCAUGGUUCCGUCAAGUCCGGCAAGCCAUGAAUCAUCAUUCAAUCAUCAUUCCCAAGCCAUUACACUGCCACCACGUUUCGCUGUUGGUGAGUUGUGUGAAUUGUGGAAUACACACAACAUUAUGGCAAAAGUGUUGGGGGUAAUCAGGGUGUUUUCUGGCAAAUGUAAAAUGAGCCUUUAUGUUCCUCUUGGUUUGCAGUGGUUGUUGCAUGUGAAGAGAGCUGCAUUUCCUUAAGUGUUCAUCUGAGUUAUUUUGUGAUGUCCUGAAUGAGUCAUCAGUGAACCCUGGGAGGGAUUCUGCUAGGUUCGCCACUUCUGGAAGAUUCGUCAUUCUUCCAGGUUUUCUAUAUUUGGAGAUAAUGGCUCUCAUUGUGGUUUAAUGGAGUCUUGGAGCCUUAGGAAUGUCUUCUUUUCCAGACUGAUAUAGUUCAAUAACUUUCUUUCCUACUUCUUCCUGAAUUUCUUGUCCGCGAUGUAGUGUCCUGCUAGCCCGCUUUACACUGCAGGAAAGUUUCUGUUUAGGUGAUGUUAAGAUAUUACCAGAGCCGGCAGUAAUUAAGCCUCGUUGAGUC